GGGGGGAGGGGAUAUCAUUUCGGGUUAUUUCUUUUGUAGCUUUAUCCUUUUCUGUACUUUCCAGUAUUCUGCAAUAAUAUAUGUUACAUAAUUUGGAAAGGAAAAACAUGAACUAAAACCAAAAGUUGAUUAACAGAAGAAAAGGAAACAAGUGCGAAAAAAAGAAAUGGAAAGCUAACGGCGUAGUCCCCGCCCCCUCCCCUGGGGGUGGGAUCGACGGAGGGAGGGGCGGGCCGCCGAAGUUCGCACCAAUCAGAGGACGGUUGAUUAGCGAGGAGAAUUUGGAGACACUCCACGCCCAGCAAUCAGCCUCGGGGUUAUGCUUCCCUAAGCGGCCUGGAAACCAGCCUGGGCCUAUCCGGAGUGCCGCUGUGAGCUGCUACUGGCUGCCAGAUAGCCCCGCCCAUCUUCCUGCUCAUUGGCAGCCACGGUUUUCGUAAGGAGAGCCUGUUGCUGAGCAAAAAGAAGUAGGCGCCGCAGCUUUUGCUCGGGAGAGACUUUUAGAGCGCAAAGCUUCUUGGGAGACCUUUGGCAAAUGCCUUCUCUCUGGACUUCAGGAUUCCUGCCUAUAAGAUGCGAAGAAUUGACUCAUGAGAAAAGACCCUGAUGCUGGGAAACAUUGAAGGCAGGAGGAGAAGGGGACAACUGAGGACAAGAUGGUUGGAUGGCAUCACCGACUCAAUGGACAUGAGUUUGAGCAGGCUCCAGGAGUUGGUGACG
ensembl:lncRNA